CUGUCAUCCAAAAUGACUAAAGUGACAAAAAUCAUCAUUCUGCUCAUCGUGACCAUAUCUCUUCUCUGCUCUGUAGAGGCUCUGCAAUGUGUCGUGUGUACAAAACAUCCAUCUGCCAAGAGUUGUGAGUCAUCAAAAGAAACCUGUGAAGCAAAAAUAGACCAGGAGUGUUUCCUAGCGACAGUCUCUACAGGUGAACAUCAUAUUAAAAUUCAGAAAUGUAGUAGUAACUGCACAAAUGCUAUUCCAAAUCAAUCCCAACAUGCAUGCUGCGAUUCGCAUUCUUUGUGUAACAAGCUAUAAGGCGUCGUCCUUUCUUGGCCUGUUCUACUUAGAGCUGUUCAUUGAGUCCUGGAACAUGUCAUCAAGCCUUCUCCUGUUGAAUCAUACCUCCAGCCUCAGAUCCUGAUGUCUACAUAACAUUCAUUGGAUACUGUUCCUAUUCUACCUGCAUACAUUUAUUUUACAUUGGAUGUUGUGCAAAACAUUGUAUGCCUUAUGAAAUUGAUUUCAC